AGAGUUUGAUCCUGGCUCAGGACGAACGCUGGCGGCGUGCUUAACACAUGCAAGUCACGGGGGCUCGCAAGAGCAACCGGCGAACGGGUGCGUAACACGUGAGCAAUCUGCCGAUGUCUGGGGGAUAGCCGGCCCAACGGCCGGGUAAUACCGCAUACGUUCUUGGUCGGGAGUCCGACUGGGAAGAAACCGUCGGGGCAACCCGGUGGGGACAUCGAGGAGCUCGCGGCCUAUCAGCUAGUUGGCGGGGUAAUGGCCCACCAAGGCAGCGACGGGUAGCUGGUCUGAGAGGAUGGCCAGCCACAUUGGGACUGAGAGACGGCCCAGACUCCUACGGGAGGCAGCAGUGGGGAAUCUUGCGCAAUGGUCGAAAGACUGACGCAGCGACGCCGCGUGUGGGAGGACGCCCUUCGGGGUGUAAACCACUGUUGCCCGGGACGAACUUCUGGUUUUGACCAGAUUGACGGUACCGGGUGAGGAAGCACCGGCUAACUCCGUGCCAGCAGCCGCGGUAAUACGGAGGGUGCGAGCGUUGUCCGGAAUCACUGGGCGUAAAGGGCGCGUAGGUGGCGCGAGGAGUCUGUGGUGAAAGCCCGAGGCUCAACUUCGGGUCGGCCGCGGAUACUCUCGUGCUGGAGGGUGGUAGAGGCCAAUGGAAUUCCGGGUGUAGCGGUGGAAUGCGUAGAGAUCCGGAAGAACACCGGUGGCGAAGGCGGUUGGCUGGGCCACACCUGACACUGAGGCGCGACAGCGUGGGGAGCAAACAGGAUUAGAUACCCUGGUAGUCCACGCCGUAAACGAUGGGCACUAGGUGCUUGGGGGAGCGACCCCUUGAGUGCCGGCGCUAACGCAUUAAGUGCCCCGCCUGGGGAGUACGGCCGCAAGGCUGAAACUCAAAGGAAUUGACGG
rnacentral:rRNA from 1 species